rnacentral:lncRNA from 1 species
AUCUCAGAUGCAUAGAUCGAACCAGACUCUUUCACUUCGUCGUCAGAGUCUCGGUUCUCUGUAAUUGCUGUUACAGCGACACCCUCCUUUCUAGCAUUAUAUAAACUCCUACUCCAAAUCUUUCCUCACGCACAAUCCUCAAUCUCCAAACAAGCAAAACAGAUGAUGACGAUGAAAUUGGAGUUGAGAUCGCCAUGAGGGUGUUAGAUUCGCCAAGGGCUUGAGCACUGUGAAGAUUUUGAGUUUAGUCCAGAAGGUACAUAUUCUUCUUCUAUUAUUUUUGAAUGAUUUUAUU